rnacentral:sRNA from 1 species
GGGUUCGUUUUCCUUUCUUAUGAGUUUAACUUUUUAUGUAUGUAUGGUUGUUUUUUUUUUUUUUUUACUUUUAUGUUCCAUACAAUAUUUGUGUAUUUGAUGUGCCUUUUACAAAUUCAUGAAAUGGAUUUACACAAAGCAGCAAUAUGAUAAACCUCCAUUGAGAACCCAUAGAUCUUAAAGAACGCAAGUACAUGUAGAUUGAAUAAAACUGAUGAAUG